GAGGAGUUUUGGGUUUAACGAGAAAAAUACCCACCACUUACCGCCUGAAAAAACCUUGAUGCUCUUUCUUGUCAUCUUCUUCCUCUCAGCCGAUCCACUUAAUCUCCAUGAACUUGUAAUCUGAUUUUUCUCCGUUUCAGAAAUGGUAUGUGCAGGCAGAAUACUGUAUUUAUCUUGCUCAACGACGCCGUUUUCUCCAUCCACUUCGGCGUUUCCUACUUCAACAUAUUUCCAUGCGAAUCGUAGAAAUGGAAUUAGAUUGCGAUCCAUGGCCUCCGAUGCUGACGCAUCUUCAUACGCUACUUCCUUAGAUUCUGAAUCCUCCGAUAGAAACGCAGCCGGGUUUUGUAUAAUUGAAGGACCUGAGACAGUAGAGGACUUCGCUAAAAUGGAGUUGCAGGAAAUUCGAGAUAAUAUUAGAAGUAGGAGGAACAAGAUAUUUUUGCAUAUGGAGGAGGUACGCCGACUAAGAAUACAACAAAGGAUAAAGAGUGCUGAGCUUGGGAUAAUAACGGAAGCACAAGAAAAUGAGCUUCCUAAUUUCCCAUCGUUCAUUCCUUUUUUGCCUCCUCUUACAUCAUCAAAUCUUAAGCAAUAUUAUGCUACUUGUAUAUCCCUCAUUGCCGGAUUUAUGCUUUUUGGUGGACUUCUAGCACCCAGUUUGGAGCUAAAAUUGGGACUAGGAGGCACAUCAUAUGCGGAUUUUAUUGGAAGCAUGCAUCUACCAAUGCAACUGAGUCAGGUCGAUCCAAUUGUGGCAUCAUUCUCUGGGGGUGCAGUUGGGGUGAUCUCUGCUUUGAUGGUUGUUGAAAUUAAUAAUGUGAAACAGCAGGAGCAUAAGAGAUGCAAGUACUGUCUUGGAACAGGAUAUCUUGCUUGUGCUCGAUGUUCCAACACUGGAUCUCUUGUUCUUAUUGAGCCUGUUUCAACAAUUUAUGGUGCGGACAAGCCUCUGUCACCACCUAAAACAGAGAGGUGUUCCAACUGUUCAGGUUCAGGAAAGGUCAUGUGCCCUACGUGUCUUUGUACUGGGAUGGCUAUGGCAAGUGAACACGAUCCACGAAUUGAUCCAUUUGAUUAAAUAGUAUAGAAUAUAGAUUUCCUUUACUGGAAUUCUUAAUAUUGAAUGUGUAAAGUUUAGAUGAAAGCAUCGCCCCUGAAUGAACACAGCCUAUUUUAUAAGAGAGUUUAAAUUAGUAUGAG
rnacentral:misc_RNA from 1 species